rnacentral:tRNA from 1 species
GAGGUUGUGGCUCAGUGGUGGAGUGCUCGCCUGGCAUGUGUGAGGCCCUGGGUUCAAUCCUCAGCACCACA